GGGCAAUUGGUCUAGGGGUAUGAUUUUCGCUUCGCAUUCCGCAAAAAGAUGCGCCUUGUGAAAGGUCACCGGUUCGAAUCCGGUAUUGUCCA